UACAAGUUUAAAUGACUGACGUCGUAAAGUUACAUACACAGUGCACAGGCAAGAUAGCAGAAAAGAUGUCUUAGUUGAGGUUCUACUGAAGCAGACCCUGAGAUUCAAAUGCAAGUAGUGCUUUUGAAUUCUACUACUAAGACCCACAGAAUGAGAUUCAUUUUCUCUGAGAACUGGACAUUUGUCUAAUCAGGAGCCUUAGAAGUCUUACACUGCCAUGUGGAUUUAAGGAUAAAGGAGACCAAUUCAAACACAGAAGAGACCGUAUACCAAUGGAGAAGGAGAAACAAAGGAUGGAGAGAAAGUUUCGGUGACCUUUGUACCCCUGGUUCCAGAUCCUUCUGGUAGCAUUCAUACUCUUAAGCCUAAGUGAUUUUUGGGAAGCCUUAUAAUAAAGUGCCAUUUUCUGCUUAGGCUAAUUAGAAAUGGUUUCUGCAAUUAAAAAAAAUAUCCUAAAUAACUUGCAAUGGGCAUCUGUUGCUUACUCCUCAGAAUUCUCCCUUGACUUCCACCCGCCUGCCUUCCCCUCUUCUACCAGCAUCCAGCUAUUUCUUUUGGGAAACUUCUUUAACAUUCUUACCCAUUUUAGGC
rnacentral:lncRNA from 10 species